AUGGGUGACCUAUGGGGCGGGAUGGGGGUUCUAUGGGGCCUAAUGGGGCUGUAUGGGGCGGAAUGGGGGCCCUCUGGGUCAUAAUGGGUGUCCUAUGGGGUGGAAUGGGCUCUAUGGGGCGGAAUGGGGGCCCUGUGGGUCAUACUGGGCGUCCUAUGGGGCGGAAUGUGUGUCCUAUGGGGCAGAAUGGGUGUCCUAUGCGUGUGAGGGGCGCUAUGGGGCGCAAUGGGGCUCUAUGGGGCGGGAUGGGUGUCCUAUGGGGUUCUAUGGGGCUCUAUGGGGCGGGACGGGUGUCCUAUGGGGUGGAAUGGGGCUCUAUGGGGCGGAAUGGGGCUCCAUGGGGCAUAAUGGAUGUCCUAUGGGGUGGAAUGGGUGUCCUAUGGGGCGGAAUGGGGCUCCAUGGGGCAGAAUGGGUGUCCUAUGGGGCGGAAUGGGUGUCCUAUGGGGUUCUAUGGGGCUCUAUGGGGCGGGAUGGGUGACCUAUGGGGUUCUAUGGGGCUCUAUGGGGCGGGAUGGGUGUCCUAUGGGUCAUAAUGGGUGUCCUAUGGGGUUCUAUGGGGCUCUAUGGGGCGGGAUGGGUGUCCUAUGGGGUUCUAUGGGGCUCUAUGGGGUGCAAUGGGGUCCUAUGGGGCGGGAUGGGUGACCUAUGGGGUUCUAUGGGGCGCAAUGGGGCUCUAUGGGGCGGGAUGGGUGACCUAUGGGGCAGGAUGGGGGUUCUAUGGGGCGGAAUGGGUGACCUAUGGGGCGGGAUGUGUGUCCUAUGGGGCGGAAUGGGUGUCCUAUGCGUGUGAGGGGCGCAAUGGGGCGCAAUGGGGCUCUAUGGGGCGGGAUGGGUGACCUAUGGGGCGGGAUGGGGGUUCUAUGGGGCGGGACGGGUGUCCUAUGGGGUGGAAUGGGGCUCUAUGGGGCGGAAUGGGGCUCUAUGGGGCAUAAUGGGUGUCCUAUGGGGCGGAAUGGGUGUCCUAUGGGGUUCUAUGGGGCUCUAUGGGGCGGGAUGGGUGACCUAUGGGGUUCUAUGGGGCUCUAUGGGGCGGGAUGGGUGACCUAUGGGGUUCUAUGGGGCUCUAUGGGGCGCAAUGGGGCUCUAUGGGGCGGGAUGGGUGACCUAUGGGGCGGGAUGGGAGUUCUAUGGGGCCUAAUGGGGCAGAAGGGGGUCCUAGGGUGUUCUAUGGGGCUCUAUGGGGCGGAAUGGGGGCCCUCUGGGCCAUAAUGGGUGUCCUAUGGGGCAGAAUGGGGCUCUAUGGGGCUCUAUGGGGUGGAAUGGAUGUCCUAUGGGGCCUAAUGGGGCUCUAUGGGGCGGGAUGGGGGCCCUAUGGGUCGUACUGGGUGUCCUAUGGGGCGGAAUGGGUGUCCUAUGGGGCAGAAUGGGUGUCCUAUGCGUGUGAGGGGCGCUAUGGGGCGCAAUGGGGCUCUAUGGGGCGGGAUGGGUGACCUACGGGGUUCUAUGGGGCUCUAUGGGGCGGAAUGGGGUCCUAUGGGUCAUAAUGGGUGUCCUAUGGGGUGAAAUGCGAUCCUAUGGGGCGGAAUGGGUGUCAUAUGGGGCGGAAUGGGGCUCUAUGGGGCAGAAUGGCUGACCUAUGGGGCGGAAUGGCUGACCUAUGGGUCAUACUGGGUGUCAUAUGGGGCUCUAUGGGGCGGAAUGGGGCCCUAUGGGUCAUAAUGGGUGUCCUAUGGGGUGGAAUGGGGCUCUAUGGGGCGGAAUGGGUGUCCUAUGGGGCGGAAUGGGUGUCCUAUGGGGUGGGAUGGGUGCCCUAUGGGUUAUAUGAGAUUCCCUAUGGGUUAUGUUGGGUCUCCUAUGGGUUGCAAUGGCUGCCCUGUGGCUUAUAUAGGGUGCGCUAUGGGGUCACACUGGGUGCCCUGUGGAUUAUAUGGGGUCUCCUAUGGGUUAUAUUGGGUUCCCUGUGGGGUCACACUGGCUGCCCUAUGGGUUAUAUUGCGUCUCCUAUGGGUUAUAUUGGGUCUCCUAUGGGUUGCAAUGGGUCUCCUAUGGGUUGCAAUGGCUGCCCUGCGGCUUAUAUGGGGUGCGCUAUGGGGUCACUCGGUGUGCCCUAUGGGUUAUAUUGGGUGCCCUAUGGGUUGUAUUGGAUUCCCUAUGGGGUCGCAAUGGGUGCCCUAUGGGUUCAAUUCGGUUCCCUAUGGGUUGCAAUGGCUGCCCUGCGGCUUAUAUGGGGUGCGCUAUGGGGUCACUCAGUGUGCCCUAUGGGUUAUAUGGGGUUUCCUAUGGGUUAUAUGGGGUUUCCUUAUGGGGUCACACUGGGUGCCCUAUGGGUUAUAUGGGAUUUCCUAUGGGUUAUAUGGGGUUCCUUAUGGGGUCACACCGGGUGCCCUAUGGGUUAUAUGGGGUUUCCUAUGGGUUAUAUUGGAUUCCCUAUGGGUUAUAUUGUGUCUCCUAUGGAUUAUAUUGGGUCUCCUAUGGGUUGCAAUGGGUCUCCUAUGGGUUGCAAUGGCUGCCCUGCGGCUUAUAUGGGGUGCGCUAUGGGGUCACUCAGUGUGCCCUAUGGGUUAUAUGGGGUUUCCUAUGGGUUAUAUUGGAUUCCCUAUGGGUUGUAAUGGUGCCCUAUGGGUUAUAUUGGGUCUCCUAUGGGUUAUAUGGGGUCUCCUAUGGGUUGCAAUGGGUCUCCUAUGGGUUGCAAUGGCUGCCCUGUGGCUUAUAUGGGGUGCGCUAUGGGGUCACACUGGGUGCCCUAUGGGUUAUAUGGGGUUUCCUAUGGGGUCACACCGGGUGCCCUAUGGGUUAUAUGGGAUUCCCUAUGGGUUAUAUUGGGUCUCCUAUGGGUUGCAAUGGGUCUCCUAUGGGUUGCAAUGGCUGCCCUGUGGCUUAUAUGGGGUGCGCUAUGGGGUCACACUGGGUGCCCUGUGGAUUAUAUGGGGUCUCCUAUGGGUUAUACUGGGUGCCCUAUGGGGUCGCACUGGGUGCCCUAUGGGUGAUAUGGGUGCCCUAUGGGUUAUAUUGGAUUCCUAUGGGUUCUAUGGGGUCUCCUAUGGGUUGCAAUGGCUGCCCUGCAGCUUAUAUGGGGUGCGCUAUGGGGUCACACUGGGUGCCCUAUGUGUUAUAUUGGGUUCCUUAUGGGGUCACACUGGCUGCCCUAUGGGUUAAAUGGGGUUUCGUAUGGGUUGUAAUGGGUGCCCUAUGGGUUAUAUGGGAUUCCCUAUGGGU
ensembl:lncRNA